AUUGAACGCUGGCGGCAUGCCUAACACAUGCAAGUCGAACGGUAACGCAAGAAGCUUGCUUCUUGGCGACGAGUGGCGGACGGGUGAGUAAUGCUUAGGAAUCUGCCCAGUAUCGGGGGACAACUCGGGGAAACUCGAGCUAAUACCGCAUACGCCCUACGGGGGAAANCCGGGGGAUCUUCGGACCUCGCGCUAUUGGAUGAGCCUAAGUCGGAUUAGCUUGUUGGUAGGGUAACGGCCUACCAAGGCGACGAUCCGUAGCUGGUCUGAGAGGACGAUCAGCCACACUGGGACUGAGACACGGCCCAGACUCCUACGGGAGGCAGCAGUAGGGAAUAUUGGACAAUGGGCGCAAGCCUGAUCCAGCAAUGCCGCGUGUGUGAAGAAGGCCUGCGGGUUGUAAAGCACUUUCAGUAGAGAAGAAAAGCCUCGGGUUAAUACCCCGGAGUCUUGACGUAACCUACAGAAGAAGCACCGGCUAACUCCGUG
rnacentral:rRNA from 1 species